rnacentral:rRNA from 1 species
AGUCGAACGGGAACUCUGGANUCGUCUGGAGGGGAGAGUGGCGAACGGGUGAGUAACACGUAUGUGACCUGCCUCGAAGACGGGGAUAGCUGCUGGAAACGGUAGCUAAUACCCGAUGGUCUCNGAUAUUCGGUUUGUCGAGUAAAGGCUCCGGCGCUUUGAGAGGGACCUGCGGNCCAUCAGCUAGUUGGUAGGGUAACGGCCUACCAAGGCGAAGACGGGUAGGGGGCGUGAGAGCGUGACACCCCACACUGACACUGGGACACGGGCCAGACUCCUACGGGAGGCAGCAGUGAGGAAUAUUGCGCAAUGAGCGAAAGCUAGACGCAGCAACGCCGCGUGGGUGAUGAAGGCCUUCGGGUCGUAAAACCCUUUUCUGGGGGAAGAGUAAGGACGGUACCCCAGGAAUAAGCCUCGGCUAACUAUGUGCCAGCAGCCGCGGUAAAUACAUAGGAGGCAAGCGUUAUCCGGAUUUACUGGGCGUAAAGAGCGUUGAGGCGGCUUCGUAAGUUGGACGUGAAAGCUCCCGGCUUAACUGGGAGAGGCCGUUCAAUACUGCGGGGCUUGAGGACAGCAGAGGGGGGUGGAAUUUCCGGUGUAGUGGUGAAAUGCGUGGAUAUCGGAAGGAACACCAG